rnacentral:rRNA from 1 species
UCGAACGAACUUCCGUUAAUUGAUUAUGACGUACUUGUACUGAUUGAGAUUNNANCNNNNNGUGAGUGGCGAACGGGUGAGUAACACGUGGGUAACCUGCCCAGAAGUAGGGGAUAACACCUGGAAACAGAUGCUAAUACCGUAUAACAGAGAAAACCGCAUGGUUUUCUUUUAAAAGAUGGCUCUGCUAUCACUUCUGGAUGGACCCGCGGCGUAUUAGCUAGUUGGUGAGGUAAAGGCUCACCAAGGCAGUGAUACGUAGCCGACCUGAGAGGGUAAUCGGCCACAUUGGGACUGAGACACGGCCCAGACUCCUACGGGAGGCAGCAGUAGGGAAUCUUCCACAAUGGACGCAAGUCUGAUGGAGCAACGCCGCGUGAGUGAAGAAGGGUUUCGGCUCGUAAAGCUCUGUUGUUAAAGAAGAACGUGGGUAAGAGUAACUGUUUACCCAGUGACGGUAUUUAACCAGAAAGCCACGGCUAACUACGUGCCAGCAGCCGCGGUAAUACGUAGGUGGCAAGCGUUAUCCGGAUUUAUUGNGCGUAAAGCGAGCGCAGGCGGUCUUUUAAGUCUAAUGUGAAAGCCUUCGGCUCAACCGAAGAAGUGCAUUGGAAACUGGGAGACUUGAGUGCAGAAGAGGACAGUGNNNCUCCAUGUGUAGCGGNGAAAUGCGUA